rnacentral:lncRNA from 1 species
GAAGAGGUGGUGCUGAUUUCCUUGGCUGGCGGGAACUCUGUCUGGCUGUUGCAUGCAUCACUUUUGUGUGGGUUAUUUUGUUCCUCUGUGGAUUUGGAAGCAUCGCUGAAGGAGAGAGAGGAUUUUAUUUCUGGGAAAUGGAAUCGGUUUCUGAGUCCAGCCAACAGCAGAAGAGAAAGCCAGUUAUCCACGGACUGGAAGAUCAAAAGAGG